rnacentral:rRNA from 1 species
UUCCGGUUGAUCCCGCCGGAAGUUACUGCUAUCGAGGUUCGACUAAGCCAUGCGAGUCGAAUGCCGCAAGGCAUGGCGUACUGCUCAGUAACACGUGGACAACCUACCCUUAGGACUGGGAUAACCCCGGGAAACUGGGAAUAAUCCCCGAUAGUCCUCGAAGGCUGGAAUGCAUCGAGGGCGAAAGCUCCGGCGCCUAAGGAUGGGUCUGCGGCCUAUCAGGUAGUAGUGGGUGUAGCGUACCUACUAGCCUACGACGGGUACGGGUUGUGAGAGCAAGAGCCCGGAGAUGGAUUCUGAGACACGAAUCCAGGCCCUACGGGGUGCAGCAGGCGCGAAAACUUUACAAUGCUGGCAACAGCGAUAAGGGAACCUCGAGUGCCAGGUUACAAAUCUGGCUGUCGAGAUGCCUAAAAAGCAUUUCAUAGCAAGGGCCGGGCAAGACCGGUGCCAGCCGCCGCGGUAACACCGGCGGCUCGAGUGGUAACCGUUAUUAUUGGGUCUAAAGGGUCUGUAUCCGGCCGGAUAA